rnacentral:rRNA from 1 species
AGAGUUUGAUCAUGGCUCAGAUUGAACGCUGGCGGCGUGCUUAACACAUGCAAGUCGUGCGGUAACAGGCGUAGCAAUACGUGCUGACGAGCGGCGAACGGGUGCGUAAUACAUGGGAAUCAGCCCUUCAGUGGGGAAUAACCCGGCGAAAGCCGGGCUAAUGCCGCAUAAGAUCUCCGGAUGAAAGCGGGGGACCGUAAGGCCUCGCGCUGAUGGAUGAGCCCAUGUCGGAUUAGCUAGUUGGUGAGGUAAUGGCUCACCAAGGCGACGAUCCGUAGCUGGUCUGAGAGGACGGCCAGCCACACUGGGACUGAGACACGGCCCAGACUCCUACGGGAGGCAGCAGUGGGGAAUAUUGGACAGUGGGGGAAACCCUGAUCCAGCGACGCCGCGUGUGUGAAGAAGGCCUGC